CCCCUAGAUGUUCUGGGCCGCACGCGCGCUACACUGACGAAUGCAACGAGCUUAUAACCUUGGCCGAAAGGUCUGGGUAAUCUCCAAAUUUCGUCGUGAUGGGGAUAGAUUAUUGCAAUUAUUAAUCUUCAACGAGGAAUGCCUAGUAAGCGCAAGUCAUCAGCUUGCGUUGAUUACGUCCCUGCCCUUUGUACACACCGCCCGUCGCUCCUACCGAUUGAAUGGUCCGGUGAAGCGUUCGAACCGUGGCCUUUGGACGGUUCGCCGUCUGUUGGCUGCGGGAAGUUCGUUAAACCUUAUCAUUUAGAGGAAGGAGAAGUCGUAACA
rnacentral:rRNA from 1 species